rnacentral:rRNA from 1 species
AUUGAACGCUGGCGGCAGGCCUAACACAUGCAAGUCGAACGAGUGGCGGACGGGUGAGUAAUGUCUGGGAAACUGCCCGAUGGAGGGGGAUAACUACUGGAAACGGUAGCUAAUACCGCAUACCAUCGGAUGUGCCCAGAUGGGAGUAGCUUGUAGGUGGGGUAACGGCUCACCUAGGCGACGAUCCCUAGCUGGUCUGAGAGGAUGACAAGCCACACUGGAACUGAGACACGGUCCAGACGCCUACGGGAGGCAGCAGGGGGGAAUAUUGCAAAAUGGGAGAAAGCCUGAGACAGCCAUGCCGCGUGUAUGAAGAAGGCCUUCGGGUUGUAAAGUACUUGCAGCGGGGAGGCGUUACCCGUAGAAGAAGCACCGGCUAACUCCGUGCCAGCAGCCGCGGUAAUAC